rnacentral:lncRNA from 10 species
CAAAAGAUGAUCCUGUGAACACUGUAUCAGGCAUCAUUACUGGACUGAAAAAAGGAUCACUUGAUGGACAUGCCUGGCGUUUUGUUUAGUAUUUCUUCUCUGGCCUUAGAAGAUUAGUUUUCAAAGCGAUGGUAAAAUCAUUGAUGUAUGUCUUUUCAAGAAAAAGAAAAAAAAAAGACUCCUAAAUGCCAAACAUUUGCUCUUUGGAGCAUAGCAAGAAGAAAGGGAGAGGACCAGACGGCCACAUCCUAAGAACAGAGUAUUGUCCAGGUAGCUGUCGCCCCAAAUGGGAUCUCUUUCCAGGUCUUUUUGUUAAAGCUUUUCUUUCCUAAAUAAAACUUAAUUUUCUCUCGCUAAUCUUUCCAGUGGGUGUCUGCCGCUUCCUCAUGCCUUGCUAUAAGAAAGCUCGUAAAAAGGAAGAAAUCUAAAACUAGAACAAUUCUAUAUUCACA